rnacentral:rRNA from 1 species
AUACGGAGGAUGCGAGCGUUAUCCGGAUUUAUUGGGUUUAAAGGGAGCGCAGGCGGGAGCUUAAGUCAGCGGUUAAAUGGUGCGGCUCAACCGUGCCCUGCCGUUGAAACUGGGUUUCUUGAGAGUGCAAGAGGCGGAUGGAAUUCAUGGUGUAGCGGUGAAAUGCUUAGAUAUCAUGAAGAACUCCGAUUGCGAAGGCAGUCCGCUGGGGCACGUCUGACGCUGAUGCUCGAAGGUGCGGGAAUCAAACAGGAUUAGAUACCCUGGUAGUCCGCACGGUAAACGAUGAUUACCCGCUGUCGGCGGCAGACAGUCGGCGGCCAAGCGAAAGCGAUAAGUAAUCCACCUGGGGAGUACGCCGGCAACGGUGAAACUCAAAUGAAUUGACGGGG